rnacentral:tRNA from 1 species
CAAGAAGUAGUUCACCCCGACUAUCAGCUUUGGGUGCUGAUGGUGGGGAAUAGGUUCCUUCUUCUUGA